GUCCAGGGGCGCGAAUCGAACUCACAACGUUCCGCUUACCGGGCAGAUGCCAUGUCCACUAGGCUACCCUGGA
rnacentral:tRNA from 1 species